CCUACGGGGGGCAGCAGUAGGGAAUAUUGCUCAAUGGGGGAAACCCUGAAGCAGCAACGCCGCGUGGAGGAUGAAGGUUUUCGGAUUGUAAACUCCUUUUGUUAGAGAAGAUAAUGACGGUAUCUAACGAAUAAGCCCCGGCUAACUCCGUGCCAGCAGCCGCGGUAGUACGGAGGAUGCGAGCGUUAUCCGGAUUUAUUGGGGUUAAGGGGUGCGCAGGCGGAUUUUUAAGUAAGCGGUCAAAUCGUGGGGCUCAACCCCGUCCAGCCGUUAAAACUGGGGAUCUAGAGUGUGCGAGAGGUAUGCGGAAUGCGUGGUGUAGCGGUGAAAUGCAUAGAUAUCACGCAGAACCCCGAUGGCGAAGGCAGCAUACCGGUGCAAAACUGACGCUCAGGCACGAAAGCGUGGGUAUCGAACAGGAUUAGAUACCCUUGUAGUC
rnacentral:rRNA from 1 species